GUUAGGUGAACCUGCUGCUGGAUCAUUAC
rnacentral:rRNA from 1 species